CAUGCAUGGCAUGUAGCAUUUUAACAAAAAUGAGCCUAAACCAUGAUCAAACAUAACCGAAUUCAAGCAUAGAAAUCAAGCCAUUUUCGCAUGGCUUUAAUAUAUACAUACUUCAAAAUCAAACAUAUUAACUAGCCUAUACAUGCCAUAGGUUCAAGUUCAAACUUAUAAAAUACCACAAAAGUGAUUGAUAGUGUGAUAGAUUUCUCUGACGAUCCCCG
rnacentral:lncRNA from 1 species